GGGGCGUUCACAGACUCCUUUAGCCCGCCAGCAUGCUGUAAGUACUUCCUCUUUAUCUUUUUCUAUCUAGCAUUCUCAGUUUAUUUUCAGCAUUGCUCACUUAGAAACAAUCUAAAUUAUGUAGGCAUAUAAGGAGUUUGUCGAGCAUAGGAAUCUCGAGGUGCGGGAGUACUUGAAACGAGUGAAGGCAAACGAUGAUUACAACCGUCAGAUGAUGACGGUUAGUUCUGCCCUCUUAAAACCAAGCUAAAUUUUUGCACUUUCAUUCCUUUUGAUCUUCUAGUUUGCUUGUUUAACUAACAUUCAGGCUAUGUUGGCGUCUUGGAGUAACGGCACGGGUCCACCACAAAUGGGACCCCCACCACCACCUGCAGGAGAACCCCCACACGUGCCCACGUUCGAUGAAUGGGUGGCACUAGGCAGUGAUGGUCCGGUUAGUACAUUUGCCUAACUACUGACAAACUAGUUCUCGUUCAUUCAACACUAUCAUAUCAUAUUUACUGUUAGAAUCUUUUCUGAAACAUGUAGGGGACCGGUGGCUCGACUCCUGCUCCGUCGACCCCAGUCACUCCGAUCUGGCAGAGUGGUGGUGGUCGCGAUGGCAGUUUUGGCGGAGGUGGUGUUGGUUUUGGCGGAGGUGGUGGUUUUGGCGAAGGUGGUCUUGCUUGAUGAUUCCGUGCAUGUGGCCGUCGUGCCAUGCCUUUCAUAUUCCUACUUUUAUGAUGUUUCAUGUCUUGCACUACUUUUAUGUUCAUGAACUUGAGUCGGUGAUGAUCUUUAGAUGAUGUGAUGAACUUGAGUAUGUUUAGAUGAUGAUGGUGAACUUGAGUAUGUUUAGAUGAUGAACUGUCAUAUUUCUGCAUAAUUUCAUAUUGUUCUGUUUUGAAAUGCUGUCAAAUGAAUUGGAAAAGAGAAAACAGGGAAAAAAAACCUAUGCCUACGGCAAAGCCGUCGGCAUAUAUAAGCCCAGGAGUCACCAGGGCUUGCCACGUGGCGGAUCUAUGCCGACGGCUUUGACGUAGGCAUAGAUGAAAAUCUAUGCCGACGGCAAAGCCGUAGGCAUACCUCUGCUGCCAGGAGUAACCAGAAGACGACACGUGGCAGAGCUAUGCCUACGGCAAAGCCGUAGGCAUAGAUUACGGCUUUGCCGUAGGCAUAGCCCUGCCACCAAGAGUACCACUGGUUGCCACGUGGCAGAUGUAUGCCGACGGCAAGGCCGUCGGCAUAUAUCUGCCACGUGGCAUUGCAUGAUUCAUCCGCGUUUUUGACGGCGCCGUCCGUUGCCGUCAGACGAAAAAGACUGCCGACGGCUAUACUAUGCCGACGGCUGACGCUAGGCCGUCGGCAUAGGCCCCUAUGCCGACGGUCUGACAAGACUACGCUGACGGCAUCUACGCCGACGGGUCUAUGCCGAUGGCAGCCGUAGGCAUAGACCUAUGCCGACGGCUUGGGGGCCUAUGCCGACGGCCCUUGACCGUAGGCAUAGACCGCGAGUCCGGUAGUGUCGGUCGUGGUCUUCGCGCACACCUCCUGUGCAUCACCACCUUGGCCAUGCGGAGGAGAGAUGGGGAGCCGCCGCCGGGAGACGAGAUGAAGGCCGGCGCCGGGAGCGAAGAUGCGUUGGGGGCUCCGGCGAGGGACAGGAGCGCUGCCCCGCUGCUCGACAAUU
rnacentral:lncRNA from 1 species